GCGGACAGCUAUGGUAAUUUAAAUUUUUUUCUAAUGGGUUCAAAUAAAAAAUUAAAUGAUUAAUCUUAAUUUCUCUGAAACCUGAAAAUGAAUCCCGGAGACCGCCUCCUUCUGCUUCAUCUUCUUCGAAGCAAGCUAGCACCGGCGAGAAGGAACCAUGGUUUCAAACAAUGUUCUUUCAAACAAAAUAAACCAGGACCUCGCCGCCAAUCUCUUUCUAUUCCAUUAAUUUUCAGGAAAAAAAAAAAAAGAAUCUAAGCUGCCCAUCCAUCACCAGCUAUUGCUUUCGAUUUGGAUGUAUCUGCAGUUGGGUCAAUCACAUCUGUAGGAGUUCAGUGCCGCUGCAUGUGGCAGUGCUUGCGGGUCAGCUACGGUCAUCAGGCCGCCAGGUUGAGCUGCCAAGAAGGGGAGAUGCGGGAGGAGGGAGAAGACCGUAGAGUCAACCACUGUUCACCAAAAAUGAUCCAAAUAUUUAUUUUGUUUUAUUUAUAUUAUGUUUUCUUUAAAAUUCAAAAAUAAUUAAUUUAUUUUUAUUAAACUUAUGCAGAUAAAAAGAAAUUUCUUAUAAUUUUUUUUUAAAAAAAUUUCUUACUCUUAAAUAAAGGUUAUUUUUAUAAUUUUCGAUUCAAAAAAAUAUUUAGUAAUUUAUUCAUAAUAAAACCAAUUAAAAACAAAAUUUGAAAAAUGAGCAAAUCAUAAAUUCUUUGUAUCUAUCUAUAUAUAUAUAUAUAUAUACUUGGGUAGAGCAAGUCAUAUAUACAAAACUCAAUUUGUCAACUGCCGUGUUCACACGUUUACAUUUUGUUCACACCACUCAUCUUUCUAUGUAUAUGAAAACCUCUUCUCCUUCUCCACACUCCAACUCCUCCUCCUCCUUCUCCUUCUCCUUCUCCUUCUCCUUCUCCUUCUCUCCCAAAUGAAACGCCAAAAGAAAGAUCCCCGCCAUGGCGCCCAAGACUCGGAUACCAAAACCAAACAUUUGAAAGGUAUCAUCACUUCCUUGCUCCUUUUAGAAGACCAAGACAAGUGCGAUAGAGACGAACAACACGCCGACUCAUGGCAACGCGCUUCGCAAAUCGAUUCAACUCACACCAAACAAACCAAAACCAUGCUUCAAUACUACUCCAAUCUCCACGACUACUACCACGAAAUCGACGAAUCUGACCGUAUUACUCGAAAGAAAUCGCGCUCCGCCGCCAACGCCGUCGCCGUCGCCGUCGCCGUCGCCGCGGUCUCCGAAACCGAAAAAUCCGCGGCGAAACAAGUCGGGUCCGGGUCGGGCCAACACAGGAGGUUAUGGGUCAAAGAUAGGUCGAAAGCUUGGUGGGAUGAUUGUAACAGAGAGGAUUAUCCGGAAGAGGAAUUCAAGAAGGCGUUUAGAAUGAGUAGGUCUACUUUUGAUAUGAUAUGCGAGGAGUUGAAUUCCGCCAUUGCUAAGGAAGAUACUGCGCUCCGUAACGCGAUUCCUGUGCGGCAAAGAGUCGCUGUUUGCGUAUGGAGGUUAGCUACUGGUGAGCCGCUGAGACUUGUUUCGAAGAGAUUCGGGUUAGGAAUUUCAACUUGUCAUAAACUGGUUUUGGAGGUUUGUUCCGCCAUUAAAACUGUGUUGAUGCCAAAGUAUCUACAAUGGCCGGAUGAGGAUUCAUUGAGGAAAAUCAAAGAGAAAUUCGAAUCUAUUUCGGGUAUACCUAAUGUCGUUGGUUCAAUGUACACGACUCAUAUCCCCAUUAUAGCUCCAAAGAUCAGUGUAGCAGCUUAUUUCAACAAGAGACACACAGAGAGGAACCAGAAAACAUCAUAUUCCAUAACAGUUCAAGGUGUAGUUGACCCAAAAGGUGUACUUACAGAUGUAUGCAUAGGGUGGCCUGGUUCGAUGUCGGAUGAUCAAGUGCUGGAGAAGUCUGCUUUGUAUCAGAGAGCUAAUGGUGGUUUAUUAAAGGGUGUUUGGAUUGUAGGAAAUAGUGGGU
rnacentral:lncRNA from 1 species